GGGGGGGGGGGGGGGGGGGCGGGGGGCGGGCGGGUCGGGCGGGAGCGGGCCGGCGGGUGCGGGGGAGGGGCGAACGGGUGAGUAAUGCAUCGGAACGUCCCCAGAGGUGGGGGCUAACGCCGCGACAGCUGUGCUAAUACCGCAUGUGAUCGGAGGAUGCAAGCGGGGGACCGCGCAGCAAUGUUUGGCCUCGCGCCUUUGGAGCGGCCGAUGUCGGAUUAGCUAGUUGGUGGGGUAAAGGCCUACCAAGGCGACGAUCCGUAGCUGGUCUGCGAGGACGACCAGCCACACUGGGACUGAGACACGGCCCAGACUCCUACGGGAGGCAGCAGUGGGGAAUGUUGGACAAUGGGCGCAAGCCUGAUCCAGCAAUGCCGCGUGCGGGAAGAAGGCCUUCGGGUUGUAAACCGCUUUUGGCAGGAACGAAACGGUGUCCGCUAAUACCGGGCGCUAAUGACGGUACCUGCAGAAUAAGCACCGGCUAACUACGUG
rnacentral:rRNA from 1 species